rnacentral:rRNA from 1 species
UACGAAGGGGGCUAGCGUUGCUCGGAAUCACUGGGCGUAAAGGCGCACGGUGGGCGUCUUUAAGUCAGGGGUGAAAUCCUGGAGUUCAACUCCAGAACUGCCUUUGAUACUGAGGAUCUUGAGUAUGGGAGAGGUAAGUGGAACUGCGAGUGUAGAGGUGAAAUUCGUAGAUAUUCGCAAGAACACCAGUGGCGAAGGCGGCUUACUGGUCCGGUUCUGGCGCUGAGGCGCGAAAGCGUGGGGAGCAAACAGG